GUACACUCCUACGGGAGGCAGCAGUGGGGAAUUUUGGACAAUGGGCGAAAGCCUGAUCCAGCAAUGCCGCGUGUGUGAAGAAGGCCUUCGGGUUGUAAAGCACUUUUGUCCGGAAAGAAAUCCUUGGCUCUAAUACAGUCGGGGGAUGACGGUACCGGAAGAAUAAGCACCGGCUAACUACGUGCCAGCAGCCGCGGUAAUACGUAGGGUGCGAGCGUUAAUCGGAAUUAAUGGGCGUAAAGCGUGCGCAGGCGGUUUGCUAAGACCGAUGUGAAAUCCCCGGGCUCAACCUGGGAACUGCAUUGGUGACUGGCAGGCUAGAGUAUGGCAGAGGGGGGUAGAAUUCCACGUGUAGCAGUGAAAUGCGUAGAGAUGUGGAGGAAUACCGAUGGCGAAGGCAGCCCCCUGGGCCAAUACUGACGCUCAUGCACGAAAGCGUGGGGAGCAAACAGGAUUAGAAACCCCUGUAGUCCCAUG
rnacentral:rRNA from 1 species